AGGAUGGCGACCGGCGCACGGGUGAGUAACACGUAUCCAACCUGCCGAUAACUCGGGGAUAGCCUUUCGAAAGAAAGAUUAAUACCCGAUGGUAUAAUCAGACCGCAUGGUCUUGUUAUUAAAGAAUUUCGAUAACCGAUGGGGAUGCGUUCCAUUAGUUUGUUGGCGGGGUAACGGCCCACCAAGACAUCGAUGGAUAGGGGUUCUGAGAGGAAGGUCCCCCACAUUGGAACUGAGACACGGUCCAA
rnacentral:rRNA from 1 species